rnacentral:rRNA from 1 species
CGACUGGCGGCGUGCUUAACACAUGCAAGUCGAACGCGAAAGGGACUUCGGGUCCUGAGUAAAGUGGCGCACGGGUGAGUAACGCGUAGAUAACCUGUCUUCAUGUCUGGAAUAAUACGCCGAAAGGGGUACUAAUACCGGAUAUUCUUGCUUUUCAUAAGUUAUGCAAGCAAAGGUGGCCUCUGCAUAUGCUACUGCAUGAAGAGGGGUCUGCGUACCAUUAGCUAGUAGGUGGGGUAAUGGCCUACCUAGGCGACGAUGGUUAGCGGGUCUGAGAGGAUGAUCCGCCACACUGGCACUGGAACACGGGCCAGACUCCUACGGGAGGCAGCAGUGAGGAAUAUUGCGCAAUGGGGGAAACCCUGACGCAGCGACGCCGCGUGAGUGAGGGAAAGGCCUUCGGGUCGUAAAGCUCUGUCAAGAGGAAAGAAGUGUACAAUGGCUAAUACCUGUUGUAUUUGACGGUACCUCUAAAGGAAGCACCGGCUAACUCCGUGCCAGCAGCUGC